UCUGGCUGCUGGUCUGACUUGGAUCGCUUUACAAUGGAGGAGUACUGCUGCAGAACAUCUUGAUCUGAUAGACUCCUGUCUGUGGCAGGGAGAGAGGAGAAGGGAAGCCUGACCUUAGCCAGGUUGAUGACUCUCUCCUUCCCCCUGGUGGACGGGGGCCUGUCAGGGGAGGCAGAAGGCUGGGCCGGUGCAAUUGACGUCACCUUCCUACUACUACUCCAAAUACUGAGCCCAGCAGGACCGGGGACCCUGCUCUCAUUCCAGCUGCGACUGCGGUGUUUUGCGGGCUGGGGAGAGAUCUGGGAGUUAUUCUGGAUCAAAGAGGGCAUUUCUGUCUCUAUUCUUAAAACAAGCCUCUUUGACCGUGGCCAUCAACCUUUGCACUUCUCUUUCUCCAUUUCACCUUCCAGUGUGAUAGGGAGGGUUCGGGUCCACCCGCGCGCCCCUUUAUGUUGAAAGGAAUUGUCGCGCUGACAUUGUCAGCCAUUUGAUUGUUAACGGGGGAAAAAGAACGCAUCAGGUACCUGUGUCAUAGGAUUGUCUGGGUUGAAGUCAUCAAUCUUCUCCAUUGUGUUGAUGUCAAGGUUCCCUAAGGCCAUCUGCAAGGCUGUGUCUUCUCCGACAGGCCUACAUCCGAUACAGUUAAGGUACCUGUGCUGCCCAAGUGUGUAGAAAACUAUUGAGAAAUUUGCAGUUUCCGAAAACGUUUAAACCUCAAUUCAGAUUUAUCCCACGAGCGUGUAGGAUACACUCCGGCAUAACUGAGAGUGGCCGGGUUGAUGUCCUCUGCAUAUGGGUUGAGGGGGACAAUCUUCCUGCUGACAGGAUCAAAUACCAACUGGUAAAGAAAGGUUUGAUUGGCUCGGACAAAUCCUUCAAUGUACUCUUCAGGGACUGCGAGAUCCAUCUUUAAGUACUGGCCCAUUUUCUUGAUCACCUGAUGCCAAAAGCAGACGGCACAAUGCAAAACAAGUAAUGCCAAACGCUUCAACAGUGGUAAUUCAGCACCUGAAUUUGAACGCAAAUCGGAAUGUGCUGCAGUCUACAGUAUUACUAACUCAGCAUUGAAGUCAUAAUUACAGGAAAUAUUUGUGCGAAAAAACCUGCUCGGCUAUAAUCAUGCCUUCUUGUGGCACGUGACAAUCCCUUCAUUUGGUGCUAUUUGUAGGCCUGCAACUUUGCAUGGCUGGACAGUCGUAAACAAAUCAAAAACAAACCAGGACUGUAAUAAUUCAAUAUGAAAUACUACAUCUAACUGACUUUCUUCUUUUCCUAGAUAAUUUGGCCAUAACAUGUGAUUGCUAAUUGAAGAAUGUUCAUUUCAUUGAACAAACUUUGGUAGGGAGGUCCGGUGGUCCACUGGUUACCACCCAGGCAUCACAGUGCAGAGGUGCAGGGUUCAAUUCGGGCUCCGGCAUUCCUGUAUGAAGUUUGCAUGUUCUCCCUGUGCCUGCGUUAUUUUUCUCCGGGUACUUGUCCCACAAAAUAUCCAUUGCAGGUUGAUGGAACACUUUUAAUUGUCCCCGGGUGUGAGUGUGAGCGCAGAUAGUUGUUCGUCUCUGUGUGCCGUGGCAACCAGUUCAGGAUUUCCCCCGCCUGCUGCCCGAAGACAGCUGGGAUAGGCUCCAGCACGCCCAUGACCCAUCCAAAUGCCAGAAGGUCAGAGUCUUCCGUGAUGACUGCAUGAGCCAAACCAGACUUGGUCAGGUAUGCCAGUUGAGCAUCAGCCUCAUAUGGGGCCACGACACAAUCUACUCCCC